rnacentral:rRNA from 1 species
CAAUAGCGUAUAUUUAAGUUGUUGCAGUUAAAAAGCUCGUAGUUGGAUUUCUGCCGAGGACGACCGGUCCGCCCUCUGGGUGAGUAUCUGGCUCGGCCUGGGCAUCUUCUUGGAGAACGUAGCUGCACUUGACUGUGUGGUGCGGUAUCCAGGACUUUUACUUUGAGGAAAUUAGAGUGUUUCAAGCAGGCUUACGCCUUGAAUACAUUAGCAUGGAAUAAUAAGAUAGGACCUCGGUUCUAUUUUGUUGGUUUCUAGAGCUGAGGUAAUGAUUAAUAGGGAUAGUUGGGGGCAUUCGUAUUUAACUGUCGGAGGUGAAAUUCUUGGAUUUGUUAAAGACGGACUACUGCGAAAGCAUUUGCCAAGGAUGUUUUCAUUGA